CCCUAUAUAAUAGGACCUACACCUAAAUAUACACACACCCAAAAUGUUGAAUCCGCCGUUUCAUGAACUCCCUCUAGGUCUCCUUCUUCGCUGAUACACGGUAACACACUUUAAACCUCAAGAAAUCAUCCAUUUCUAUCCAUAUUGGACAACAAACAAAGGCUAAAUCCCUAGGACAUCAACAAGUACACAAAAAAGGAGGAAUUUUGGAAAGCGGCAGAAUUAUUGAAGUAGAUCCACCACCAAAAACUCCAUCUUCUUCACCAUUAAAACCAUUAAUAUCACCUUAAGACCAGCAAUGAACGACUCUUCAAAACCAAUCCAAACCCAGCUGAAAAUCACCCUAAAACACCACCUGAAACACAUUAAACCAACGAGAAUAAAAAUCAACUCGAAGCCAUUAACUUCCAGACCUCGUCGUAUUUCGUCGUUGCUCGUUCUUCAUCCUCGAACACGAGAAUACAGCACGUCGACCUAGGUUCCCAAUGAGUCCGAGUCAAAGUGUUCCGACGAGCUUUUCGGCAGAUUCGCGGUUCCAUCGAGUUUGUCACUGUCCAAAAUACGUUGGAGUCGAUCCAAGGAAUGCACUGAGUUACGAGAUUUUCCAGUGAGUUUUCCAUGUUCUAGUCGCGAUUUUGCUCGUUGUUGAGUUUCACAAUAAUAAAAGUUAGACCCUUCAUUUGAGUUCUACCCUUUAUAUUUGUUUCUUCUAUACGAUUUGGCAUUUCUUUUAACUGAUUAUCUUAGCGCAACUUUCUAUGCUUUUGUGGACGAUGAUGCUAUGUUAGAUUUAAGUUGCUCUUAAUACUUGAACAUGUUUUUCACGUCUGAAGGGAUAUCUUAUCUUCUUGUACUCGUUGAUUUGAAAUUUUUGAGCAUGCAAAAUGGUUUAAGUUAAUACAGUAGGAUUUUCAUUCAUUUUAAUUAGAUACAUAAGUAUAUUAGUGAGUUAUUUAGUACUGGCGUGAGUCUUUGAAUUAAAAUAUAAGUUUGAGUCCUUGAAAUUUUUGGUGGGAUUGGGAAUUCACAUUUUGAGUACUACAACUACUAGUUUAUUAUUUAGGAAUGGGCUAUCGUUUUAUCUAUCAUCUGAUGGUACAUUUCUCCGCUGCAUUUUGAUGUUCGCCAACUAGAAUAGGGAAAUAGAAUACUGUUUUCCCUAGUAUAAUGUACUCCCUCCGUUGGCACAUUUUAAUUUAUCAUCGUGAUUGUGUACACAUUUGCGUGACAUAAUUACGAUUCUAAAAAUCAAUUCGGAGUAUGCGUUCGCGCAACUUCGAUCAAACUUCCUUAAUAAUAAAAUUAUUUUUGAUAGGCCGCUAAAUUGAAUUUAGUUUUUAUAGUCUAAGAUGCGCCAUCCACAAUUUAAUUAUACGUGACCCUCGCAUUAAUCUUGUGACAUAGAAUAUAAAAAUGAUAAAUGUUCGUAGUUUGCUUUAGGCACGUUUUAAUGUACUAUUGUGGUUGUGGACACGUUCGCGUGAUAUGAUUACGAUUUCUAAAAACAAAACCGGAGUAUGCGUUCGCGCAACUUCGACCGAACUUUCUUAAUAAUAACAAAGCGUUAUUAAUUGUGGACACGUUUGCAUGACAUGAUUUUGACGUGCAAAACAAAAGAUUAUACGUACGCGUAACUCAUUUCUUUAAGUACGAAUAAAUCAAGUGAUUAAAAACGGUUAAAAGGGUAAAUGCACAUAGGUCCUAAAAAUGAGUAGUUGAACAAUUAAGGCAAAUAUAAAUUGCUAAGCGACCGUGCUAGAACCACGGAACUCGGGAAUGCCUAACACCUUCUCACGGGUUAACAAAAUUCCUUACCCGGACUUCUGUGUUCGCAAACUGUAUAACAGAGUCAAUCUUUCCUCGAUUUAGGACUUUAAACUGGUGACUUGGAACACCAUAAAUUAUUCCAAGUGGCGACUCUGAUUUUAAUAAAUAAUCCCAUUUCGAUUGUCACUUAAAUUGGAAAAAACUCCCUCUUAUACCCUUCCGGGGUGUAGGUAAAAAGGAGGUGUGACACAUAUCUUGAAUAGAUUCAUCGUCCUUUAUCCUGAAGAGUUCAUACUCGGUAGUGAGCAUAUCGAUCUUAGAUUGUUUUACUUUGGUGAUUCCCUCAUGAGCUAUUUGCAAAGCUUCCCAUAACUCCUUAGCAGUGUCACAAACAGAGAUUCUAUUGUAUUCAUCAGGUCCUAUUCCACAAACCAAAAUCUUCUUGGCACGAAAAUUCUUCUCCACAGCUUUCCUGUCUACAUCGGUGUAUUCUUUUCUGUUUUUUGGCAUUAGGAAUGGAAGUUCUUCAAGUACCUUUGUUGGGACGUAAGGGCCGUCACAUAUGACAUCCUAUUACUCAGAAUCCUCAGCCAUGAUAAAAUCGUGCAUUCUUGUCUUCCACCACCUAUAGUAUUAUCCAUUGAACCUGGGUGGUCUGUAUGUAAAUUGACCUUCUUCAAAAUUUGGUGGAGCAGCCAUAAGGAUCCUUCCUAGGUGUUAGCCUGAUAGGAGGAACCUGCUCUGAUACCAAUUGUUAGUUUAUAUGAGUCCACCAAAUAGUAGAGUACCUGGUCCUCUAUGAGUUUUACUGAGAAUGCUAAUGACACAGUAAGUAAAAAAGAUACGGGAUUUUUACGUGGAAAAAUCCCAACUCAAGGAGACAAAAACCACGACCUAGACUUGUAGGCUUUUAACUUCACUAACUUGUAAACACCUAUUACAAGUCACUUUGUAAUGACUCCAUUACAAAGACUUCAACUCAACUAACCUGUGAUACUCUUACACAAGCCACUUUGUCACUCUCUAGUUACAAAGACUUUAACUUAUGACUAAUACUAGUCACAACACAAACUCAGAGAGUUUAUGGUUUUUAUAAGAGGGUUCCUAAUCAACGCUUCUAGCUAAGCAAUUUAGGAGUUACAAUAAGAACAAUCACAAAGUUACAACUCAACUAAGGACAACAAAAUACUAGAUUUAGGAACUGGUCCGUAGUAACAUUUAACUUUGUUCUUCAAGCUCUUGAAAAUGAAGUUCACUAUUUUGCAGAAGGCUUGAAUGAAUUUUCAAGUGUUCAAGUGAUGUUUUGAUAUAAACUCCUUGUUAAUACACCUUGAUGACAUCACUUGAAUGAUGUAAGCACUUUAGUUGGUCAAAGAACAAGUGACCACUAGAAACAGUGCAGUGCAGGUAGAAACAGUGCAGGCAGUCACGUCGCUUCCAGCUGUGUCCAAUUGACCUCGUACUGCUAUGAGGGAACCACAAAGGUAUCAGGUCCUUAUUUGGUUCUCUAUCUCCUGAAGCUAUAGCAAUUCACAUUUAGCUAGAAUCCGUUAACUUGCAAUGUAGCCCAAGUGUGUUAGGUUCCCUAUCUGGUCCUUGACAGUAAGUUUGUUAGAUCAUCAGAACAUAAGGCAAAUCCAUUGAAAACCCAUCAAAUAACAUAAUAAAAACUAAAACAGAGUAACAACUAUACAAUCCCAAACUCGGUGGUACAGAGUCAUAAGCUAUAUUACAAUACACUAAGAAACUAUAAUACAAUACUAUUCGGAAGCAAAAUAAACAGUAGCAUAAUAUCACUAGAAGGUGAAUCUGAGGCAUGUGGGCGUCAAACAGGUAUAUCUUGAAGUCUCCGCCAUAUCUGAAUCAACUCACUAGCGACCGACACGGGCAUAAGUACCUGAAUCUUCACAAAAACGCACAGAAGCACAGUAUAAAUAUACACCAACAAUACCUAGUAAGUAUCAAGCCUAACCUCGGUAGAGUAGUGACGAAGUCAGAUCAAGACACCUACUAGACACAGAAAACCUAUGCAAAAUAUGAUAUAAUCCAACAACGAGAAAUAAAAGCAACAAAUGACAACAAAGAGUAAUAAUAAUAUAAGGCUAACAAUGGGAGUAAAAGCAAUGAAUGACAACAAAGAAUGAUCAUAUGAUAAAAAUAACAAACGAUCAAAUACAGUUAAAAUACAAGUGAAAUGAACCAAAAUAAAAAAAUAAUCAUUCAAUUCAACAAGUCGUUCCAACAUAGAAUGUGCAACAAAAAUACACUGAGGUACCACACCUCAUAUUUAUAUUUCAGAAGUCACAAUCACAAUAUUCCUUAUAUUGCCGCGUGAGCCUUGCAUUUAUUUUAAAAAUAUUUUUUCUUAAAUAGCUUCACGCGCUUUAGCCCCUUAUCUCGCAGCACGACUUCAAAUAAUUUCCCAUACAAUUAAAACACGCAGAAAUCCCACCUUAUCUAGCCGCAUGCGCAUCAAUACACUACCCUUUACCACCACAUGUGAAUCCAUAUCAUAACACAACAAUCAACUCGCACCACACAUGCCAAUAUGCCACAACAUUACUAAAAUCAACAAUACCAAUGCAACCAUAAAACAUAGCCCACGGCUCAACCACAAUGUGCACAAGAAUCUCAAUAACAUUCCAAAAUAAAUCGGGAAACAAUUCAACAAUAAAGGAUAUCCCAUAAAACAACAACUUCAAUUGGAACAUGUUAAUAGCUCUCACUAACUACAACUUCAAAUAAAUGUAUAAGAAUAAUCUUAACAAUGAAAGGUAUGACAUGUACAACAACCUCAAUUAAAUGCAUAUAAGAGCAAACUCGACAAUGAAAGGUAGAACAUGUGUUAACAACUUCAAUUAAGACAUAUAAGAGAAAACUUGACAAGUGAAGAUAGAACAUAUAAUAACAACUAUAAUUAAGGCAUAUAAGAGUUAACAUGGAAGAUAGAACAUGUAAUAACAACUACAAUUAAAUCAUAUAAGAAUGAAAUCAACAAUAAAAGAUAUAAUAAGUGACAACUUUAAAUAAAUACAUACAAGUAACCUAAGAGUUACAACUGGUCAAUUUUCACAUAUAAGGCCGUGUACAUGUUUGUCACCUCGUGUACACGCCUUCCACAUAAUUAAAAUAAUAUAAUUUAACCAAAUCCUACGGGGUAGUUCCCCCACACAAAGUUAAGCAAGACACUUACCUCAAACAAGCUAAAUCAAUCCACUAACAAUCACUUCUCGUGCAAAUCCAACUCCGAAUGGCUCUAAUAUAUCCAAAAUAAGUUAAUAUCAUAAAUAAAACCAUAGGAAGCAAUCCCGAAUAAUAAAGAUUAGAUCUUUAAUGAAAAUCAAAAAGUCAUCUAAAAAGUCAAUACCGGGCUCGUACCUCGUAACCCAACAAAACUCACAAAUUUCGAACAUCCAUUUUGAUAUGAGUCCAACCAUACCAAAAUCAUCCAAUUCCGACCUCAAAUCGGCCCUCAAAUCAUCAAUUAAUGUUUUAGAAAAGUUUUUACAAAAAUCCUCAGUUUUUUCAAUUCAAAUCACCAACUAAAUGAUAAAAAUAAAGAUGGAAUCAUGAAAAAUGGACAAAUACGAGUCAAAAACACUUAUCCCGACCCAAAUCGCCCAAAACCUAGCUCUCUAACUCAAAAUGUGAUAUAAUAACUCAAACCCUCAAAAUAGAGUACUAGAUAGAUCUGCCCAGGCAUACUCAUCUCUGACGCAAGACCCUCAUCGCAUUCGCGAAGCCAAAAAAUAUUCUUCCUAGAAAAAGGCCUUCGCGUUCUCCAUAUCGCGAAUGCAAUGAAGAAAACAUCUAAGCCUUUGCGAAUGCGGCUUGGUCCUCGCGAACGCGUAGGCUAAGAUCCUCCCAGCACUCGGAUGCUUCGCGAACGUAGAGCUCGAUCGUGAACCUGAAGAAUGGAGAUUUCCCAAACCCUUUAACCCUUCACGAAUGCGACCACCAUAUCACGAACGCGAAGAAGGAAACCUGACCUAAGAACAUCAGUAGUCCAAAAACAUGAUGGAAUGGUCUGUAGCCCAUCAGAAACAUGCCCGAGGCCCUCGGGAGCCCGUCCAAACACACUAACCAAUCCCAAAAUAUAAUACGAACCUACUCUAGGUCUCAAAUCACUUAAAACAACAUCAAAACUACGAAUCACACCUCAAUUCAAGCCUAAAGAGCUAACGAACAUUUUCAAAUUCAAAUCUUGCACUGAUCAAGCAUAAACAACUCCGAAUGACCUUAAAUUUUUCAUGCAAGUCCCAAAUGACAUAACGGACCUAUUACAACUCCCCGAACUAAAAUUCGAAUCCGAUAUCGAUAAAGUUAACUCUCGAUCAACAUCUCAACCUUCCAAAUCUUCAACUUUCUAACUUUCACGAAAAAGCACCAAAUCAACCUACAGAUCUUCGAAUCAAUAUCCAGACAUAUGCCUCUAUCCAAAAUUACUAUACAAAGCUAUUGAAACCAUCAAAACUCUAUUUCGGAGUCGUCGGCAUACAAGUCAAACUCUGGUUAACUCUUUCAACUUAAGCUUCCAACCUUGGGACUAAGUGUCCCAAUUCACUAGAAACUUUCCCGAAACCAAUCCAACCACCGGAAAAGUCAUAUAAUCACAAAUGAAUAUAAAAGAGGCAAUAAAUCGGGCAACACGAAUACAAUAUACAAAAUGACCGGCCGGGUCGUUACAAGGCUUGGUUUAUAAGUUGUAACCUCGAGUAAUAUACCUUUCAUGUCCAAAUGUGACCAUGCAAAGCAAUCAAAGUUAUCCUUAAGGAAUUUAAUUAUUUUGACUUUGAGUUCAAGACUCAGCCUCAUAACUAGAUAUAACUUCUUUCCCAGGAACUCGGUGAACAUGAUGCCAUGCUCGAGUUCUUCUGCUGUAGACUUGGCUGCAUAAGUAUCAUCCGAUACCUAAAAAUAUGAAGAAUACAUUAAUAGUUCUAGAAAAUUUUAAACUCAUAGAUAUUUUAUAGCAUGGUUAUACAGGUAAAAACAAUGGUCAAAUUACACAUUUUACCUUCCUAAAAAUAAGUAAUCAAUAAAUUUUAUCAGUACUAAAUUCUUUCAAGUAACAAAAUAAAAACAAAAUUGCUUCCUUCCUAAAAUCUUUUAUGAAUAAAUAUAAAUUUGCUUUCACAUAACAAAAUUGUUUUCACAUGAACACGAGUAACACACAUAUAAACUUCAGUUUUUUUUUUGUUUUUUUUUGCAGAAGAAAUAUUUAAAUGAUGUUCAACCUCAUGAUAUUCUCAAUCAUAAAAUAUGCAAUACUAUGAAUCAUUAUUUUAGUUACUCUCAAUUUUCAUAUGUCUAUAGAUGAGUAGAACUUUUAGCACGCAUGUGCUAAAAGUUUUGACAGUCCACAGGGCUAAUUAGAAAAUUUAAUGUAUGAUUUGCAUAAAAUAUUUAGAGCACAUACUAAGAGUUGAGCGUUAGAUGUUCUUAGACACUGCUGGGCGCUUAUGCACUACAAAACUAAACCCCACAUGCGUGCCUCAAGGCAUUUUGUAAGUGCUACUGUUACGACCCGAUAGGUCAUUUUGAGUACUAGCCUUUACUUUUGUAUUCUGAGACCUUCAGUAGCUUCAUUUAAUAUUUCUUGGUUUAUGUGCAUGGUUCGUAUCGCUUUUCAAAAUACGUUUAUGUGAAAUUUAGGAGAAAAUAAAAAUUUUGACUAAAAAAGAGGCUAGAGUUGACAGUGAUAAAUAUUUUGGGUAAACAACCCUAGAUCUAUGUUUUGACGAUUCCAGUAGGUUCGUAUUGUGAUUUUGGAUGUGGUCGUAUGUCCGAAAUUAAAUUCGGAGGUCCCUAGGUUGAUUUGACUUAUUUUACCGAAAGUUAGCAAUUUGAAUAUUUGAAAAUUCCCUAGGUUUGACCGUAUGUUGACUUUAUAGUUAUCGGGGUUGGAUAUUUAUUUUGGAACUUGGAAUAAGUCCGUUUUAAUAUUUGAAACUUGUUUACAAAAUUUGGUGCAAUUCCGAGUUGGUGUGAUAGGAUUCGGAUGCUUGGUUGUGAUUCUAGAGGUUCUUGAGUUUUCUUUUGAAUUUCAUGCCUUUUGAUGUACGAUUCGUGGUUCUAGAUUUUAUUUUGGUGUUUUGAUCGCGUGAGCAAGUUCGUAUGAUUUUUUUAGACUUGUGUGUAUAUUUGGUCUGGAGUCCGAGGGGAUCAGGGGAGCUUUCAGAUGUGAUUCAGAAGGUUUUGGAUUGGUGGUGUGUUAGAUGGUGUUUCAGGUUUGCAGGUUUCGCAAUUGCCAGUCCCACUUUUGCGAAGUCGGACUCGCAAAUGCGACAUUUGGGUAGGGGACUAUAAUCCCUGUCGCAAAUGGGAGGUGGGUGGUCCAUUUUUGCAAUGGAUAGGCCGCUAAUGCGACUAGAAGCUAGGUUGGACAGUUUCCGCAAAUGCGACCUCUAUCUCGCUUUUGUGAUUUGGGCUUCAUCGCAAAUGCGCUAUUUUAUGCUGCAAAUGCAACAUCUGGGGACUGUUGGAUAGUUUGCUUUAGCGAACAACUGUUUGCAUUUGCGGGAGUCGAAUUUGCAAACCCUCGAACCAGAGUACGCAAAUGCGACACUUGUAGCUAGGUAAAAGAGAGAAAAACAGGACUUGGCUUAUUUUACACUAUUUCUCAAAACACUCUAGAGGCGAUUUUUCACGAAUUUCUUCUUCCUAAAUUCAUUGAUUAGCAACUUUAAUCCAUUUUUUUUUUCAAUCCCCAUUACUUUUCAUGAGUUUUUAACAUCAAGUCUAGGAUUUCCAUGAUAGAAAUUAAGGAUUUGGGUAGAAUUUGAGAAUUUUAUAAAAUUGAGAUUUAGACCUCAAAUUGAGGUUGUAUUUAAAAUAAAUCACAUUACCGGGCUCGAGGAUAAAUGGGUAAUCGCAUUUUGGUCCAAAUCUCGAAUUUUGACCAAAGGGGCCCGGGGUUGACUUUUGUUAAUUUUUUCAAUUUCGUCAAAGAUUGAACUUUUUUUCUUUGUGAGUAGUUUCUAAAGCUUAUUUUGAAUUGUUUAAUCGAUAAUUGGUUUUUGGCUGUUUUGGAGGCUUAUUCAAAAGUCAAUGUCGUGGUUGGUUGGUUGAUUGACUUGGUUGUGGAGUGAGGUAAGUAUUGUGUCUAACCUUGACUUGAGGGAAUUAGGACUUGUUGAACUAUUUGCUAUGUGAAUUAUGUGGGGAAACGACGCAUAUGCAAAGUGACGAGUGUAUAUGCACCGUCAUGGGAUUUAACAUGGGGGAUUGGGCUAUUUAUUUCUAUGUCAUCAUUUAUUCCAUGUAAUCUCGUGUUAUAUGUUCUAAUUGUUAGAUGUUCUUACUUGACAUCUAUGCUUUACUUGUUAAUUGUUAUUCAAUUGUUAUUUGCUUGAUUUGUUCAUUUCUUACCCAAUAUCUACCUACUACAUGUUCCUACUUGUCCUAAUUGUAUAUUCUCAUUGUCACAUGUUUUACUUGAUUUUAUUUUUCUUAUAUUACUUGAUGCACUCCAUUAUAUUUUUUUCAAUUACGUGGGCCAUUAGCUAUUUUUAUUAAUGCUUUGCCAAGGUUUGAGGAUUUCGAAGUAUUGACCAAUCUUCGUUUGUACUGAUAGUUUCAUAUUGUUUCGCUCAUUCCAUUCGAUGUUAUGUUGAUAUUUUGUGAAUAGUGGUGUUGGGUUAUUUAUGUUGAUAAAUUGAUAUUGCGGGAUUGGGUUGCUUGCUACAACGAUACUGAAAUAAUUUGAUAUUGGGGGAUCGGGUUGUACAUCGCAACGGAAUAAGAAAUCAUAUGAUAUGAUAUUGAAAAUGAAUUGUACGUUGAGAAAGAUAUUGUGUUAAAAUUUGGAUCGGGUUGGACGCCGCAACGAAUUUGAUAUGUUGUAGUUGUGUGGUGGCUGUAGAAUUUAUUCUUGAUAUUGUGAUACGAGUUUGAGAUUUUAUUAUUCUAGGGCCCUCUGGUAGUUGACAUUCAUGUCCAGUUAUAUGAGUUUACUUCUUUAUUUCUGUUCCUGUUUUCUAUUAUUAUUAUUAUUAUUAUUAUUAUUAUUAUUAUUAUUAUUAUUAUUAUUAUUAUUAUUAUUAUUAUUAUUAUUAUUAUUAUUAUUAUUGUUAUUAUUUCGUACUAGUUCAUUGUGAGUGACUUGUCAUAGCGUCGUCACUACUUUGUUGAGGUUAGGCUCGGCACGUACAUAAUACAUGGGGUCGGUUGUACUCAUGCUACACUUCUGCACUUUGUGUGUAGAUAUUGGUGUUGGUUCUAGCGGCGCGUAGCGGAGACUGCUCUGAUUUGACAGCUACAUGUGACUUGAGGUAGAGCUGCUGGCAUUCGCAGUCUCUGAAGUCCCCUUCUAUCAUGUUUUGUUGUUAUUUCAGUUUCAGACAGUAUUAUGUUUUACUUCAGAUCAUGUUUGUAGUAUUCUAUAUACUCAUGUACUUUUGACUCCGGAUUUCUGGGAGUAGUUUCGUACCAUGUUAUUUAUAUUAAUACAAUGUUCAUUCAAGCAAGUAGAUGUUAGGC
rnacentral:lncRNA from 1 species